rnacentral:rRNA from 1 species
CCUACGGGAGGCAGCAGUGAGGAAUAUUGGUCAAUGGACGAGAGUCUGAACCAGCCAAGUAGCGUGAAGGAUGACUGCCCUAUGGGUUGUAAACUUCUUUUAUAAAGGAAUAAAACGAGGCACGUGUGCCUGUUUGCAUGUACUUUAUGAAUAAGGAUCGGCUAACUCCGUGCCAGCAGCCGCGGUAAUACGGAGGAUCCGAGCGUUAUCGGGAUUUAUUGGGUUUAAAGGGAGCGUAGAUGGGUUGUUAAGUCAGUUGUGAAAGUUUGCGGCUCAACCGUAAAAUUGCAAUUGAUACUGGCAGUCUUGAGUACAGUUGAGGUAGGCGGAAUUCGUGGUGUAGCGGUGAAAUGCUUAGAUAUUACGAAGAACCCCGAUUGCGAAGGCAGCUUACUAAACUGUGACUGACAUUGAUGCUCGAAAGUGUGGGUAUCAAACAGGAUUAGAUACCCCAGUAGUC